GGAGUUUGUUAGCAACAAGAUGAUGGCUGCCCUGACUGCUCAACAUAGAAAACUUCAACUGCUGGAAUAACAACACAUUGAAUUGGUGGCUACUUCCACUCAGAGCUGAAUUAUGAGCACUGGAAUGCUACGAAAAAGUGGGACUUCCCUCAAUUCGUCAGCUGAUAACUUCAAGCGAAUAUCAGAAGCUCCAUUCCAACAAGUCAUAACGUACUCUUCAUUCAGACUUCUGCUUGAGAUCAGGAUGCCUACACUUACUACCAGGCACAUGACUGGGGGCAAACUACUUUGUUUCUCUAGACCUCCGAGACUCAUAAGAUGUGCUACCUGCGGAGAUAAAUGUCAAGGCCCAGCCAAUUAAAAAGAAAAGAAUGAGGUCCCCGAGAUGACCUUCAGCCAAAACCAAUUAACAAAGGCCCUCACAUAACUGCAGUGCUACAGACACCCAGGUAAAGGAAAGAGGAAGAAAGCAAGCCUCGCAUCUGUGCUCCAUCAAGUACCCAUGACCAUCUCCAUGGGACAGAGAGGGAAACUGAGGACAGAGGGGUGAGCACAAAGACUAUCCAGCCAGCAGAUGGUGAAUGUGGCGUUAGAAGCCAGGGCCAUUGACUCCAAUGCCCACACUUGCAGUAUUUUAUUCUACACCAUGAGAAGAAGCCUGGUUUCUUGUUGAUUUAACAGCCCAGUGUGGGCAAAGCACCCCUGACAAAUCCCGGAAGAUUGUCUCGGGAAGGUGUUUGUGUUAAGCAAACAGCAUUACACGUGUCCUGGGCUUUGUAGCACCUUUUCAAAUAUUGACGAGGUCCAUCUGGGACUUCUGAGCGCACAGGCUGCCUUAAGCAGAGCAGGUCCUGAGUUCAGAACACCGGGUCUAGCAACAAACCCGGAAGUACCCUGGCCUCCAUGUGGCCCUGUGCUCCAUCCAUCCACUUUUACACGGGGUGCACACCCGUGUGACCCUCGGCAGACCUCCCCUGUGCAGCGCUCCCCACGGCUGCAGAGGUGUGAACCCCACUGUGCCCUGCGCGUUGCUAUGAAAUGAUAUUUUAUUAAAUAAACAAACUAGAGGCUUCCCGGU
rnacentral:lncRNA from 1 species